rnacentral:lncRNA from 1 species
AGGUACUGCAGGCACUUAAACAGAGUGCCACUGGCUGAGUUCUGCAGGGAGCUGGUCCUACACCCUCACCUUAUGGCUUCCUUCAGACCUUGGAUCCCUACCAGGAGCUGCAUCUGCGUCUUGCCUGCCCUGGGCCCCCCUCCAUUUGUAAACAGGGUCCCCAUCUCAGACAGAGCCACUACAAGCUCAGGAUUCUCUGCAUUUUAAAGUUAAAAGCUCAUAAGUUCUUCUGCCAUUUGGGUGGCGACCUGAGCUGAUGCUGUCCUGGCCAGUGUUUGGGAGCCUCUUUCUAUAGCAUCUGAAUGUGCUCACACCCCCUUCUCCCUGCCUCACUCAGCCACCGUCUUAGCAUCCACAGAAGUUUGGCAGGUGCUGAGAGAGUUAACAAGCCAGCAUGCACCAAACCAACCCGCAGGCAGGCACGUGGCUAAGCAGUCCAGCAAAGGAUGCUGCAGGGCCACCCCGGUUGAACCGGGGCUCCUAGGACAUUAGUGAGUUGGUACAAUGCUAAACUCUCUUUAACCCUUCCUCUUGAGGAGAUGUCUCUCUUUCUUCCCACCUGCCCUCACUUCCUAGGAGCUCAGGGUAUAGGCAGGUAAGCAGUCACUCCCUCCUCCCCCCCCACCCCCCUUUUCCCCCUUUCUUCGGGUUCUGUCCAAACAUCCUUUCAGGCAAAGGGGGAUGGGGAGCCCCAGACAGAUGAGCUCAUUGGAAGGAGGAGAGUAGAGGGAGGAGGGAGCCAAACCAUCCCGAGCAGAGACAUGCUGGCCGGACAGUCCCAAGCUGGAGAGGGGUGUGUGGCCACUCCUAGAAGCAGCUGAGAAAUGGAGGGAAGGUGUGGAUGUCUUCCACCAGGACAAGCACCUGAAGAUGAGAUGGGAGUCACAGGCUCCUUGAAGUGCCCUGAGCUAAGCUGUAGAGAACGGCCAUGGGAUAAGAAGCAAGCAGGUUUUCCCUGUGGUCUCCUGAAGUAUUAGUAUUUGAUAGCUCUGGAUCUACCUCAAUUUCGAAAUAUAAAAGGAAGGUUUCGGGAAUCUAGGGACAGGAGAGAGAUGUGGGUUUGCCCUUUCUCCUCAGUUCUAGCUGCCAAGCCCAGUAUGGGAACCAAAUGGAACAAAUCAAAGUUGGACAUAUCAAAGCUUCCGCACUAUGCCCUCGGAGGACCAAGCUGCCCCACCCAUUCUUAAGCUUCUACUCCAAUUAGUUUCAAACCCAGAACAAUGGUUGUGAAAUCACCGUCCAUCCACCUGACUCUGUAUCCUGAAGGCCAUGCAGAAGAAGGCCAUUCUCCAAUACACACACUGUUUAAGGAAGUAGAAAUGGGCUUCUUAGCCCAAGAAAGAAUUUAACUCAAUAAGCCACACAUGAAGUUUCUUCCUCUAUGAGGACCUCAGCUGUGGAAAGCCUAAGACUCUGCUCUGUCCAGGGGAGGAUGCUGCCUCCAACGUAAUCUUUGUUUAGCAUCAACAGAUGUUUUCUGUGGCUCCCAAAGAGCACAAAGAGAGAUCUAGUGACUCUUUUCCAUGGUUCACCAGAAGCAAACAGAAUGAACGAAUAACAAUCGUGUCAUGUUUGAAGGGCUUGGGGAAUCAUUUAAAAAUGUAUCCCUACUUGAGGAAAAAAAAUCAGACGUCAGAGAUUCAAGCUACUGUAGUGGGUUUAAUCCCAGCACUCCAGGGGCUGAUACAGAAAGAUCUAAG